rnacentral:lncRNA from 1 species
ACGGCUACAUUUAUGCAUGCAAGGCAAGUGUUUCAAUUUACACUAAUAAUUUACAAUAAUAUAUAUUUAAUGAUUCGACUAUAAAAUAAAUGUGGACCUCUAGCUUAAAACAGACCAAAUGCUUACAUGUUUAUGGUCUAUUUCUUCUCUCUUUACAUGUCAACUAAUGUAUCAAAAGUAAAUCUAAAAAGGAAACAAAAACCAAUAAGGCAUAUUAGGAGACUUUUGGCCAAAGGAAUGUCAUCGGAGACCUUAAACAUGAAAAGGCUACCAAACUUCAGAAAACGUAUUUGUCUUCACUCCUUUUCUUCAUCACUGACUGAGUAGAAUGUUGAGGAUUUUUCUGCAUUAAAACUAUAUAUAUAACAGAUAUUUAUAAACACCAUUUUCCUUACAACCUUGCAUAUCAUAUUAGCAAACAAAUUUCUUCAUCCAUCAUUAGUAAAUUUUAUUUCAAUAAAGCACAUUUCCUUGUUAUCCAUUCUGACAGAAGCAUUCCAAAGACAAUUACAUAUCAGCCACCAAAACAAAUCUGAAACUGAAAGUAAAAAUCAUCAACAUAAAAAGCAAGAGAUUGACCGCCAUUGAUACCUUUCUCGUUCUUGAAUAAUUGAGGAGAGGGCGAUCAAGAUGUGACCUAAAAAUUGGAAAAAGCGUCAUGCAGAAGCUCAUAAUUUUACAGGUAGAGUUCUGCAGCACUUGACAACCUCUUUAAGCCUUGUUUGCUCACCGGAGUUUCAAUCACAUCUGUAUUGCUUGAAAAAUCACCAUAUUACAAUGCUCCGAUAACCAAAUAUUAUCAGAAAAAUAUACAUAUAUACAUGCCUAAAUACAAACGAAAAUAAUGGGUUAUAGCACAGGUAUUACCACUAUCGGAUCCUUAGCAGACUCACUACAAAGUAGCAAACAUUUUCAAUUUGAUCUCCAAAAUUCUGAACCGAACAUUGUAGGUAGCAUAACAGCUAGCCCCCUCAACAAAAAAAAAAUGGUGUAUUAAAAUCAGAAAACGGUAGUAACAACGCAGGUGAUGAUAAAAAAAAAAAUUAUACUUGCAUGCUCAAUGGUAUAACACAUCAACAGGGUAAAUUAAGUUUUAGUAAGUAAGAUUAUAAAUUUAC